rnacentral:lncRNA from 7 species
UGCAUGCAGGUGCGCCCCUAUAUAGUGGCAGACAUGGUUCAGUGGAACUAGUAGUCCCUCUAACAAUGUUUUAUUACUCCCACCACGUACCAUUAGCUGGAGCCUUCAUCAUUUGGAGACAUGCUGUCCAACCCAAUGCCAUGCAUAAUAAUAACGUAUAUGGAUAUCAAGUAUAGCCCUAGCCUUAUCUCAUGAUGGUUAAGGGAUCAGCCUGUUGUUUUAGUGUGGCAUUCUCCCAAAAAGGUAUUCUGAGUACCACUUUCCUCGGGUCAUCAUUUCCCUUCUUUGUUCUAUAUAUAUACAUUUAUUUGGCUUGCAAUAACACUUCUUAGUUUAUUAGGUAGUAGGUCCAGCAGGAAGCGGCCAAUUCACUGUCAGAUAAGAUAUUAUUAGUGUGAAUUUGUUUUUCAGAAAGAUGUUUUUUUGGCUUGGCAGAAACUAAACAUGUAUGGUAGCUUGCCUUUGGCUAAUUAUGCAUGCAGAAAAAGACAUAUACAGUUAGCAAU